UUUCCUCUCUCAAAUUUUCCUGCAUGAGACCUCAUGACACCAGAGCAAUAAUGACAGCAAUGCCUUUCAUUUUCCCAUUAGUUCCCAAUGGCUCUAAAUAACCCAUCUGGGCUGGAAAUGGAGAAAAGACAAAUUAGUGAUGAAUAAAUAAAUGACUUGCCCAAGGGCAGGCACAGACUUAUAUCUUGCCUACCUGUUGGCAGGUUAGUUUUGAUAAUAAUCCCUUUUCAAGGUUUCUUUGAUACCAUUGUAGGAAGAGCGUGGAAACAAGCAAAGUUACAUACAAGGAAAAACAUGUACUGAACACCUCCUAUGAAUUAAGCCUUCUAUUCAGGGCUUUGAUGCCUGUGAUCUCUUUGGACCUUCACAAUAGUCCUGUGAGAUAAGAAUCAUUACCCAUGCCCUUAAAAGUUGGUGCAGAAGGGCUUAUGGAAGUCUUUGUCUGAGGUCACUGGAAUCAGCAAGAGGCAAAGCAGCGACUUAAUCAUUUAACUCGAACCCUGGUGCUGAGAAAGCAACAGGAAUGUCUCUAAUGAGGCAUAGCUCCUUCCCUUUGUCUGGUUAGAAAUGGGCCUGCAAAAUUCUAGAACAAUAAUCAAAACAUCAAAAAAACCUUCGGGCAAUAAUUCUUUUGUGCUUUACAGCCUAUAUGAUGUUAGAUCAUGGCUUUAUUUUAUUUAUAGUAUAACUAAACUAAGUUAAUUUGUCAAAAACCUGGGUGAGGAGUUCCGUGGUAAUCUAAUGAUUAAGAAUUCUGCAUUGUCAUUGCUGUGGCUUGGGUUUGAUCCCUGGUCCAGGAACUUCUCUAUGCCCCAGGCACAGACGAAAAAAAAAAAAAAAUAAAAAGGAGGUUAAUGUCCCAAGUCACUAGUUCCAGUCCCAUCUGGUGCUGGGCUGGGGAUAGGGAGGCACAGAAGAGGAGGAGCAGGGAACUCAGACAGAAGGUUUCUGGCCUGAGAGGCUCCUCAGGCUGAGAUUCAGAUUUCCCCUGUACACAUCUGAAUGACCAUUUGGAUCAAUGACGGGUUUUGAUCUCCCAAAUUUGCUUACAUUUUGUUUUUGCAAAGUGGAUACCUGCCAUACUAUCAGGUUUGUUUUAGAAUAAAAUAUUUCACACUCAAGUUUCACUAACAGAACAGAGAACUCAGAGAACUAGCAGUAGUUAGAAGAAUGGUGGUAGGGGAUCAUUCUACAUGGACAUCAAGUAGGAUAAGGGUUUUAAGGAAGAAAGGAUUGGAAAAAAAUAAACUGAUAAAGUGAGAAAGUGGUGAUAGACCUUGGUCUGUCACCUGCUGUUUAGGACUGGGAGAGGUUUACAGAGAGGUAGCCUCCCUUCAAAGCACGAGAUACAGCCAAUAUUUAUGGAUGGAAAAAUACAUGUUCUAAAGAGACACCUUAUUUCUACCUUCAUAUAGAAAGCAUAACAAAUGGCCAAAGAUAAGCAACUAGGGCUGCCCAGAAUUCAGUCUCAUGGUGGCACCACCCUUUAUCCCUGCCUCCCUCUCAGCCUCUGUCCUCCCUCCCUGUCUUCUUCCCUCCCUGUCUUCCCCCCCCCUUCCUUCUUUCUUUCCUUCCUUCCCUGCUGCCUUCCUUCCACAAAGCAUUCUUGUCACCAUAUACAGAACAGACACAGAGCUGGACUCGGGGAGAAGAGAGUGACAGAGUAGACAGUGAUCCUCAAGGUGGCAUGUCGAUAAAUGGAUGAAGUCAUUCAGCAGUGAGGUGACUUCAGGAGGCUGCACUCUCUGUUGCAUUUUAUUAAGAGCAUGGGUUGUUUUAAAAUCAAAGAAGAUAUGUUCAAAUAAGUACAAUGAAAGGCAUACAUAGACAUGGGACUUUCUCUGUGAUGCAAGCAUUUAGAUUAAUUACCACCCUUAGAGUUUCCACAUUCUAAUGUUUUUCCAUCAGGGUUUUAUUCUUUUAAUCCCUAGUAUCCCACAACUAAUAUCAUCCCAAGUGUAGAUUCUUCAUCGAAAAGAAUGAAAAUCACCCUGAAAGACAACUCGUGACUUUGGACAGAAAUAAACCCUGGCUGGGUCAUAUUUCAUUCUAUGGGAAAUGUUCAGCAUUCAACCUGCGGCGUCCUAGUUGACAUAGCAGCAUCCUGUAAUUACCCCGAAAGGCCAUUUGAUUUGAUAAUAUAUUCACCACCAUGUAUAAUUUACAUAAUGUUUUACAAUUAUCCAUUAAUAUGCAAAUGUUAGGCUAAAGAUUAUGUGGCCUAGAAAUGCAAUGCAAGUACUUCUCUGACAGUCACAUUCUGUGUGCAUAUGGAUAUCUGACCCGAGAGGCCUUUCAAUUUUAGCAAAGCAAUGAUUCAUGGUGGUGAAGAUGAAAGGUGAAUAAGUACAACUUAUCACAGUACACAAAGCCAUGUGACAUUCAAUCAACAAUUAUUCAGUUUGGGACACCAGGUUGGGCAUCCAGAAGAUGCGGAUGAACAAUAUUUUCUCUUUCUCCGAGGGCCUCCAUAAUGUUAGAAAGCCUGUCAAAAGGAGCAGCAAACAAAAGGCGGAGGUAAAGCUUAGACACAGGACGUGUCUCAUCCAUGAAAAUAAUGGACGUGUAAUUACCAUGAAAAUAACUUGCCAGGUGAGCACUGUGACACACUAAUCAGAUAAACCAGUCUGUGAAAUUCAGUCCUCCUCUCCUUUCCCCAGUAGUAAUCCAUCUAAAAAGGAAAAGGAGGAGUUCCCGUCAUAGCUCAGGGGAGACAAUCCGACUAGGAACCAUGAGGUUGCGGGUUCCAUCCCCGGCCUCACUCAGUGGGUAAGGAUCCAGCGUUGCCUGAGCUGUGGUGUAGCUCAUAGAUGUGGCUAGGAUCUGGCAUUGCUGUAGCUCUGGCAUAGGCUGGAGGCAACAGCUCCAAUUAGAUCCUUAGCCUAGAAACCUCCAUAUGCCACUGGUGUGGCCCUAAAAGGACAAAAGACAAAAAAAAUUAAAAAAAAAAAAAAAAGGAAAAGGAAAUGAAAGUGGGAAAAGGAAGACAUACUCGUGCCACUGUUGCAUCGCUGUUGAUGUGUUAAAUGUACUAAUGCCAGGAAAUUCAGUUACUGUUCCCAUAGCAACUGCAGCUCGCCUCUUGGACCUGGUAAAUUAAGUUAUAAAAAUUAAUCUUACUUAGAGCACAAGGAAACACUGCACCCAAGCAAGGGAAACCACAGUUAGGUUGAUCUUCACAUUAACAGAGUAACCAACUCUCCUCAAGAAGAGGACCAGGAGAAAAAAACCCUCACAUUAGUUACUCACUCCUGGCUAUUGCUCAGGAGGACCAAUGCCAGUGCUGUCUUCCACUGGCACCACCAGACCAGCUGAGGACACAGGGCACGUGGGCCCCGGGGCCCAGGAAUUCCAGAGGAUCAAAGAGAAAGAAAGCUACCUUUGCCUUAUAUACUAAGGCAGGGGAAGCAAUUUUGUACAUUCCACCCAGUACAAAAGGGUCCACAAUAUACACACUAUAACCUACUGUUACUUGUGAAGGCCAAUUCUAUUUAGGUUUGAUGAAAACCAAGAGAGCAGAGGAGGCGUGGAUCUGAAACUUGCAUGAAGGUCAAAGUGUUAAGUCAUGUGAUUGUCAAUUCAAUUGAUGAUGUUCACACCUGAGCCAAGUCUGACUGUAUGACUGAGGGGAGCUGAAGAUUGCAUUUUAAAUCAAUAAGGUAGGAUGGACUGGGAGUCUGGGAUUAACAGAUGCAAACUAUUGCAUUUGGAGGGGAUAAGCACUGAGGUCCUGCUGUAGAGCACAGGGAACUAUAUCUAUCACUACUGAUGGAGCAUGAUGGAGAAUAAGGUGAGAAAAAGAAUGUAUGUAUGUAUGUGACUGGGUCACUCUGCUGUACAGUAGAAAUCGAUAGAAUACUGUAAACCAACUACAAUGGAAAAAAUAAAAAUCACUAAAAAUAAAUAAAUAACAAAAUCGAUCAAUAAGUAGUUUUUAGUGAGUAACUAAAUCUUGACUAAUAGUAAUUUAAUUAAGAUUUCAUUAUGCUAGCACUCAUUUUCAGGCUCAAUAGGGAAUCUAAAUUUUUAACAGAGACACUAAUAAAAGGUCUCAAGCUUAGUACUGAAAACAUUUUUAAAAUUAUAAGACAUGUUUCUGCUUCCCCACUCUCUGAUGAAUACAAGUUAGUAUAAUAAGUGAACCACAAAAUUGUUAAUGAAUAUCAGCAAUAUCCAAAGGCCACUCAUAAGAGGUGUUAAAUUUCACAUUAUUUAGUAAUUAAUACUCUAGAAUCAGGGUCACAGUCUUUCUCUUCAUAACACUCCCGCUUUCAUCCUGGACUACGUUUAGGUAAUAAAUACAAUACAAAAAAUUUUAUGAGAGGGAGGGAGCGGGAUGGAUUGGGAACUUGGGAUAAUAGAUGCAGACUAUUGCCUUUGGAAUGGAUAAGCAAUGAGAUCCUGCUAUAUAGCACUGGGAACUAUAUCUAGUCACUUAUGAUAGAGCAUGAUAAUGUGAGAAAAAAGAAUCUAUACAUGUAUGUGUAACUGGGUCACCAUGCUGCACAGUAGAAAAUGGACAGAACACUGUAAACCAGCUAUAAUGAAGCAAAACAAAAACUACCAUAUAUAUUUUAAAAAUUCCAAUAUUUCACAGCCUCCUCUUUUACCUCCUUAGUUAGUUCGAGUACUCCAACUGGUACAGCCCUCCAAUCUCAUCAAAACCUCAAGUCCAACCAGCCCAAACCAUCAACUGGGCAUCUUAUGUUCUUAUGCUUCUCCGGUCAGCCUGCCCCCCAACCCCCAAUGAGACCACCUCAUUUCAUACAUUUUCCACUUUCCUCAUGCAUCUCUCACUGGCUCCCCUCCUUCUAAGGGGAUGUUGCUGGAUUCUUCAGAGAGAAGACAAAAGCCAUCAGUGGGGACUCAUGUCAACUUCCUGCCACGGAAUCUACACAUCCUCUGAGAUACAGCACAGAAUGCAGAGGCCACGUGCAAGGGCUGGAGUAUCAGAUUACUGGGUUCAAAUCCUGAUUCCUUGAUUUAACAGCUGAGAGGCCGCAGGCAAACCACUUCAUCUCUUUCUGCCUCAGAUUCCUCACCUAUGAGGACAAUGACAGUACUGGCCUCAGUGUGUGGCUACUUCAGGAGAUAAUCCAGGCACAGCCUAUGGAAGAGCAUAUGGCGCUCAACAGGCGCUCAGGAACAUUAGCUGUCAUCAUUUCCACUGUUUGUUUGUUUGUUUUUUUAAUAAAUCUUGCCUCUCUCUUCUCUCAUCUCUUUCUCUAAAAUGGAGCACAUAUCCUUUUUCCUUGUAAAAGUCAAUUUCCUCUAGUAGCUGGAUCCCAUCUCCUCCAUCCUCAGAGACUAGGCUCCAUCAGCACCACCUCUCUCCUUUUAUAGUGGAUCCUGCCUCUCUGUGCUGAGGUUUGCUUGGUGGUAGGUACGUAAAUGUGUAACCACUAGCUCCUGGAGGAAAUGGUGGGG
rnacentral:lncRNA from 9 species